rnacentral:rRNA from 1 species
UGGGGAAUAUUGCACAAUGGGCGCAAGCCUGAUGCAGCCAUGCCGCGUGUGUGAAGAAGGCCUUCGGGUUGUAAAGCACUUUCAGCGAGGAGGAAGGUGGUGAGCUUAAUACGCUCAUCAAUUGACGUUACUCGCAGAAGAAGCACCGGCUAACUCCGUGCCAGCAGCCGCGGUAAUACGGAGGGUGCAAGCGUUAAUCGGAAUUACUGGGCGUAAAGCGCACGCAGGCGGUUUGUUAAGUCAGAUGUGAAAUCCCCGGGCUCAACCUGGGAACUGCAUUUGAAACUGGCAAGCUAGAGUCUCGUAGAGGGGGGUAGAAUUCCAGGUGUAGCGGUGAAAUGCGUAGAGAUCUGGAGGAAUACCGGUGGCGAAGGCGGCCCCCCUGGACGAAGACUGACGCUCAGGUGCGAAAGCGUGGGGCAGCAAACAGGAUUAGAUACCCUGGUAGUCCAGCGCUGUAAACGAUGUCGAUUUGGAGGUUGUGCCCUUGAGGCGUGGCUCCGGAGCUAA